rnacentral:rRNA from 1 species
UGCCUAACACAUGCAAGUCGAGCGAGAAAGUUCCUUCGGGGAUGAGUACAGCGGCGGACGGGUGAGUAACACGUAAGAAUCUGCCCUAUAGUGAGGAAUACCCUCGAGAAAUUGAGGUUAAUACUGCAUAAGUCCCUGCGGGGAGAGAAGCGUCUUUUAUGUCGCUGCUAUAGGAUGAGCUUGCGGACUAUCAGCUUGUUGGUGAGGUAAAGGCUCACCAAGGCUAUGACGGUUAACCGGCCUGAGAGGGUGUACGGUCACAUAGGCACUGAGAUACGGGCCUGACUCCUACGGGAGGCAGCAGUGGGGAAUAUUGCGCAAUGGGCGAAAGCCUGACGCAGCGACGCCGCGUGGAGGAUGAAGGUCUUCGGAUUGUAAACUCC